rnacentral:rRNA from 1 species
AUUGAACGCUGGCGGCAGGCCUAACACAUGCAAGUCGAACGAGUGGCGGACGGGUGAGUAAUGUCUGGGAAACUGGCUCAUGUAUGGGGAUAACUACUGGAAACGGUAGCUAAUACCGCAUUCCAUGGGAUGGGCCGAGGUGGGAUUGGCUAGUUGGGGGGGUAAGGGCUCACCAAGGCGACGAUCCCUAGCUGGUCUGAGAGGAUGAGCAGCCACACUGGAACUGAGACACGGUCCAGACUCCUACGGGAGGCAGCAGUGGGGAAUAUUGGACAAUUGGCGCAAGCCUGAUGCAGCCAUGCCGCGUGUAUGAAGAAGGCCUGCGGGUUGUAAAGUACUUUCAGCGGGGAGGCGUUACCCGCAGAAGAAGCACCGGCUAACUCCGUGCCAGCAGCCGCGGUAAUAC